UACGGAAAGGGCAAGCGUUGUUCGGAAUCAUUGGGCGUAAAGGGCGUGUAGGUGGUUCUGUAUGUCUACCGUGAAAGCGUACGGCUCAACCGUAUUUAGUCGGUAGAAACUGCAGGACUUGAGGCUGGGAGGGGCUGGUGGAAUUCCCCGUGUAGCGGUGAAAUGCGUAGAGAUGGGGGAGAACACUCGUGGCGAAGGCGGCCAGCUAGACCAGUUCUGACACUGAGGCGCGAUAGCGUGGGGAGCAAACAGG
rnacentral:rRNA from 1 species